GAAUUUUGGACAAUGGGCGAAAGCCUGAUCCAGCAAUGCCGCGUGCAGGAUGAAGGCCUUCGGGUUGUAAACUGCUUUUGUACGGAACGAAAAGCUUUUGGUUAAUACCCUGGAGUCAUGAAGGUACCGCAAGGAUCAGCAUCGGCUAACUACGUGCCAGACGCCGCGGUAAGUCGUAGGGUGCAAGCUUUAAUCGGAAUUACUGGGCGUAAAGCGUGCGCAGGCGGUUUUGUAAGACAGAGGUGAAAUCCCCGGGCUCAACCUGGGAACUGCCUUUGUGACUGCAAGGCUAGAGUACGGCAGAGGGGGGUGGAAUUCCGCGUGUAGCAGUGAAAUGCGUAGAUAUGCGGAGGAACACCGAUGGCGAAGGCAACCCCCUGGGCCUGUACUGACGCUCAUGCACGAAAGCGUGGGGAGCAAAC
rnacentral:rRNA from 1 species